rnacentral:rRNA from 1 species
CAAGGAUUCCCCUANUAACGGCGAGUGAAGCGGGAAGAGCUCAAAUUUGUAAUCUGGCGGUUUUCAAUCGUCCGAGUUGUAGUCUAGAGAAGUGUUUUCCGUGCUGGACCGUGUACAAGUCCCUUGGAACAGGGCGUCAUAGAGGGUGAGAAUCCCGUCUUUGACACGGACUCCCAGUGCUAUGUGAUACACUCUCAAAGAGUCGAGUUGUUUGGGAAUGCAGCUCAAAAUGGGUGGUAAAUUCCAUCUAAAGCUAAAUAUUGGUGGAAGACCGAUAGCGAACAAGUACCGUGAGGGAAAGAUGAAAAGCACUUUGGAAAGAGAGUUAAACAGUACGUGAAAUUGUUGAAAGGGAAACGCUUGAAGUCAGUCGCGUCUUUCAGGAUUCAGCUUGACUUUGGUCUUGUCUAUUUCCUGGCUGACGGGCCAGCAUCAAUUUUAAUCAUUGGAUAAAGUCUUUGGGAAUGUGGCACCUCCGGGUGUGUUAUAGCCCUUUGAUGUAUGUAAUGAUUGGGAUUGAGGACUGCAGCACGCCUUUAUGGCCGGGGUUCGCCC